rnacentral:rRNA from 1 species
CAAUUGUUUAUUAGGGUAAUAUUAGUAUGUAUAGCACUGAAUAUCUAAAUAUGUAUUUAGAAGGGAGUUUUAGCAGACUUAUCUUGGAUAUUUAAUCUCAUAAUGACUAAUAUUUAUAGGAUAAAUAAUCAGACUUUUUGCGAUAAGGUGAA